AUUGAACGCUGGCGGCAGGCCUAACACAUGCAAGUCGAGCGGGGUUUUCGGACCUAGCGGCGGACGGGUGAGUAAUGCGUAGGAAGCUGCCCGAUAGAGGGGGAUACCAGUUGGAAACGACUGUUAAUACCGCAUAAUGUCUACGGACCAAAGUGUGGGACCUCCGGGCCACAUGCUAUCGGAUGCGCCUACGUGGGAUUAGCUAGUUGGUGAGGUAAUGGCUCACCAAGGCGACGAUCUCUAGCUGGUUUGAGAGGAUAAUCAGCCACACUGGAACUGAGACACGGUCCAGACUCCUACGGGAGGCAGCAGUGGGGAAUAUUGGACAAUGGGCGCAAGCCUGAUCCAGCCAUGCCGCGUGUGUGAAGAAGGCCUUCGGGUUGUAAAGCACUUUCAGCGAGGAGGAAGGGUGGUGUGUUAAUAGCACAUCAUUUUGACGUUACUCGCAGAAGAAGCACCGGCUAACUCUGUGCCAGCAGCCGCCGUAAGAC
rnacentral:rRNA from 1 species